AAUUAAAUACUGAAUUCUACUCAUAUAACCUCGAUAAUUGGUUCGAGGGUUUCUACGAGGCAACCGAAAUUGCUUCUCUAUGAGCCAGGGAUGGCCAUAG
rnacentral:ncRNA from 2 species